GGCCCAGUUAUCCAACGGUUAAGAUGUAAUGCUUUCACCAUUAUAGUACAGGUUCGAUUCCUGUCUGGGCUA
rnacentral:tRNA from 1 species